rnacentral:rRNA from 1 species
UACGUAGGGCGCAAGCGUUAUCCGGAAUUAUUGGGCGUAAAGAACUCGUAGCGGUUUGUCGCGUCGAAUGUGAAAACCCGGGGCUCAACCCCGGGCCUGCAUUCGAUACGGGCAGACUAGAGUUCGGUAGGGGAGUCUGGAAUUCCUGGUGUAGCGGUGAAAUGCGCAGAUAUCAGGAGGAACACCGGUGGCGAAGGCGGGGUCUCUGGGCCGAUACUGACGCUGAGGAGCGAAAGCGUGGGGAGCGAACAGG